rnacentral:rRNA from 1 species
AGAGUUUGAUCCUGGCUCAGAACGAACGCUGGCAGCGUGGAUUAGGCAUGCAAGUCGAACGGGAUCGGGCCGGUAGCAAUAUUGGUCCGUGAGAGUGGCGGAAGGGCGAGUAAUGCACGGGCAACCUGCCCCCGGGAUGGGGACAACUUGGCGAAAGUCGAGCUAAUACCGAAUGCGGCGCCGCGGGGCAUCCCGCGGCUGCCAAAGGCGGGGAUCCGCAAGGACCCGCCGUCCGGGGAGGGGCCCAUGUGCCAUCAGCUAGUUGGCGGGGUAACGGCCCACCAAGGCUUACGGCUAGCUGGUCUGAGAGGACGACCAGCCGCACUGGGACUGAGACACUGCCCAGACUCCUACGGGAGGCUGCAGUCGAGGAUCAUUCGCAAUGGGCGCAAGCCUGACGAUGCGACGCUGCGUGGAGGACGAAGGCCCUCGGGUCGUAAACUCCUGUCAUGAGGGAAAAAGGUCCCGUCCGCUAAUAGCGGUCGGGCUCGAUGGUACUUCAAGAGGAAGCCACGGCUAACUCUGUGCCAGCAGCCGCGGUAAUACAGAGGUGGCUAGCGUUGUUCGGAUUUACUGGGCGUAAAGGGCGCGUAGGCGGCCCCGUGUGUCGCGUGUGAAAUCCCCGGGCUCAACCCGGGAAGUGCGCGCGAAACUGCGGGGCUCGAGCAGAGGAGGGGAGAGCGGAAUUCAUGGUGUAGCGGUGAAAUGCGUUGAUAUCAUGAGGAACACSGGCGGCGAARGCGGCUCUCUGGAAUCUUGCUGACGCUGAGGCGCGAAAGCCGGGCGAGCAAACAGGAUUAGAUACCCUGGUAGUCCCGGCCCUAAACGGUGCACACUGGGCGUGGGGGGAUUUUCACCCCCUCCGUGCCGGAGCUAACGUGUUAAGUGUGCCGCCUGGGGAGUACGGCCGCAAGGCUAAAACUCAAAGAAAUUGACGGGGACCCGCACAAGCGGAGGAGCAUGUGGCUUAAUUCGAUGCAACGCGAAGAACCUUACCAGGGUUUGACAUGUACCUGCAAGUCCCGCGAAAGCGGGAUUCCUUCGAGGGUGGUACACAGGUGCUGCAUGGCUGUCGUCAGUUCGUGCCGUGAGGUGUUUGGUUAAGUCCAACAACGAACGCAACCCCUGUGCCCAAUUGCCAGCGCGUCAUGGCGGGAACUUUGGGCAGACUGCCCGUUUACGCGGGAGGAAGGUGGGGACGACGUCAAGUCAGUAUGGCCCUUACAUCCAGGGCUGCACACGUGCUACAAUGGCCGGUACAAAGGGAAGCGAGACCGCGAGGUGGAGCAAAUCCCCAGAGCCGGCCCCAGUUCGGAUUGCAGUCUGCAACUCGACUGCAUGAAGUCGGAUUCGCUAGUAACGGCGCAUCAGCUACGGCGCCGUGAAUACGUUCCCGGGUCUUGUACACACCGCCCGUCACAUCAUGAAAGCCGUCUGCACCCGAAGCCGCCUUGCCAACCCGCGAGGGAGGCGGGCGUCCAAGGUGUGGGUGGUGAUUGGGAUGAAGUCGUAACAAGGUAGCCGUAG